rnacentral:rRNA from 1 species
GCGACCCCAGGUCAGGUGAGAUAACCAGCUGAGUU